rnacentral:tRNA from 1 species
CGCGGGGUAGAGCAGCCCGGUAGCUCGUCAGGCUCAUAACCUGAAGGUCGUAGGUUCAAAUCCUGCUCCCGCAACCA